CCAUUCAGCCAUUAAAUCUAUAAUACUAAAAAAUAUAUAUCUUGGAAGCUAAAGAGGGUUAGGCUUGGUGAGUACUUGGAUGGGAGACCACCUAGGAAGACCAGGUGCUGUAGGCA
rnacentral:rRNA from 1 species